rnacentral:rRNA from 1 species
CGUACACUCCUGCGGGAGGCAGCAGUGGGGAAUUUUAGACAAUGGGCGAAAGCCUGAUCCAGCAAUGCCGCGUGCAGGAUGAAGGCCUUCGGGUUGUAAACUGCUUUUGUACGGAACGACAAAGCUCCUUCUAAUACAGGGGGCCCAUGACGGUACCGUAAGACUAAGCACCGGCUAACUACGUGCCAGCAGCCGCGGUAAUACGUAGGGUGCGAGCGUUAAUCGGAAUUACUGGGCGUAAAGCGUGCGCAGGCGGCUAUGUAAGACAGAUGUGAAAUCCCCGGGCUCAACCUGGGAACUGCAUUUGUGACUGCAUGGCUAGAGUACGGUAGAGGGGGAUGGAAUUCCGCGUGUAGCAGUGAAAUGCGUAGAUAUGCGGAGGAACACCGAUGGCGAAGGCAAUCCCCUGGACCUGUACUGACGCUCAUGCACGAAAGCGUGGGGAGCAAACAGGAUUAGAUACCCUGGUAGUCCCAUG